GUAGAACAAACUGCGACCGCGUC
rnacentral:siRNA from 1 species